rnacentral:tRNA from 1 species
GGGCGAUUAACUCAGUUGGUUAGAGUGCCUGCCUUACAAGCAGGAUGUCACUGGUUCGAAUCCGGUAUCGCCCACCA